rnacentral:tRNA from 1 species
GCGCCGUUAGCUCAGCUGGUAGAGCUGCCGCCUCUUAAGCGGCAUGUCCGGGGUUCGAGCCCCCGACGGCGUAC